rnacentral:rRNA from 1 species
GCUUACGGCCAUAUCAGCCUGGGUACUCCCGAUCUCGUCUGAUCUCGGAAGCUAAGCAGGGUCGGGCCUGGUUAGUACUUGGAUGGGAGACCGCCUGGGAAUACCAGGUGCUGUAAGCA